rnacentral:rRNA from 1 species
AUUGAACGCUGGCGGCAGGCCUAACACAUGCAAGUCGAACGAGUGGCGGACGGGUGAGUAAUGUCUGGGAAACUGCCUGCUGGAGGGGGAUAACUACUGGAAACGGUAGCUAAUCCCGCAUACCAUCAGAUGUGCCCAGCUGGGAUUAGCUAGUUGGUGGGGUAACGGCUCACCAAGGCGACGAUCCCUAGCUGGCCUGAGAGGAUGACCAGCCACACUGGAACUGUGGCACGGGCCAGACUCCUACGGGAGGCAGCAGUGGGGAAUAUUGCACAAUGGGCGCAAGCCGGAUGCAGCCAUGCCGCGUGUGUGAAGAAGGCCUUCGGGUUGUAAAGGACUUUCAGCGGGGAGGCGUUACCCGCAGAAGAAGCACCGGCUAACUCCGUGCCAGCAGCCGCGGUAAUUC